UCUGCCUUCUUUGUGGAAAUCUCACAUAAAGGCUCUGGCCUUUGCCUUCUCCUUGCUCCUGUCAUCUGCCUCUUGACCAUCCUCACAUUUCCUUUGUGGCCCUGUUCCCUUCUCUCAGGUGUGGCAUGAUCCCUUCUCUCAGGAAAUGUGGCAUGCAAUAGUGAAGCUGUGAAGACUGGUGGAACCACAAAUAGAAGGGUCCUAAGUCCCAGAAUUACCAUGGAAGAAAGUCUCCUGCAAAUUGGACAGAUAUACCAAGGGGAUGAACUCUUCCAUCAUCUCAUAAAAAUAUCAGGCCGUGAAGCAACAUAAAGAGAGAAAACAUGCAAGGCAAUGUGUCUCCCGUCUCUGAUUUAUUCAUCUCAAUUGGA
rnacentral:lncRNA from 1 species